UACGGAGGGGGCGAGCGUUAUUCGGAAUCACUGGGCGUAAAGCGUACGUAGGCGGCUUAGUAAGUCAGAAGUGAAAGCCCAGGGCUCAACCCUGGAACUGCUUUUGAAACUGCUUCGCUAGAAUCCGGGAGAGGCCAGCAGAAUUCCUAGUGUAGAGGUGAAAUUCGUAGAUAUUAGGAGGAAUACCAGUGGCGUAGGCGGCUGGCUGGACCGGUAUUGACGCUCAGGUAAGAAAGUGUGGGGAGCAAACAGG
rnacentral:rRNA from 1 species